CUGUGGGUUGCUGCAGUGAGGAAUAUUGCACAAUGGGGGGAACCCUGAUGCAGCAACGCCGCGUGGAGGAUGACGCAUUUCGGUGUGUAAACUCCUUUUAUAUGUCAAGAAAAUGACGGUAGCAUAUGAAUAAGCACCGGCUAACUCCGUACCAGCAGCCGCGGUAAUACGGAGGGUGCAAGCGUUACUCGGAAUCACUGGGCGUAAAGGACGCGUAGGCGGGUUGGAAAGUCAGGUGUGAAAUCCUACAGCUUAACUGUAGAACUGCACUUGAAACUUCUAAUCUAGAGUAUGGGAGGGGGAGAUGGAAUUAGUGGUGUAGGGGUAAAAUCCGUAGAUAUCACUAGGAAUACCUAAAGCGAAGGCGAUCUCCUGGAACAUUACUGACGCUAAGGCGUGAAAGCGUGGGGAGCAAACAGGAUUAGAUACCCGCGUAGUC
rnacentral:rRNA from 1 species